UACAUGUAAUACCCGUAAAAUUUAUGUAUAGUUAUUAUUUUCUUAAAGGGGGAAUUUUCUGAUUUAAAAUAUUAUUUUGAUUUUUAAGUUUGGAAAAGAAUAUUUUUUUUUUGGUACAAUGCAAAUAUUUCUAAUAGUAUGACAAACAGUUUUGAUAAGGAUGAAAUGAUUUUAGUAUCUUAAUUAAACUGAUUUUAUCAAUAUUAUAUCUUUAUGAUUUUAUUAAUCUUAAAAAAAAAAACAGUGAGUUAAUGGGGAAACAAAAUCUUGUAUGGUCAUCACCCUCAACCUUUGCUAUUCCCCUCAUUAAGUGAUGGUUAACAAUUCAAUCAUACCUAUGAAUGAAUGACUCUUUACAUUCAUCAGUUACAAUGUACCAAAUCAGCAAGCAUCAACCCUAAACUCUUCACUAACCCCCUCUACAUUGAUAUAUAUAUACUCCCCUAUUCAUUUAUCAACAUCAAACUUUCAAUCUCUCCAAAUUUUGGAUUCUGAUCUCGUAUUCUUGGUAAGAAUCUAUCAGUUCUUCCUACUUUCAGCCAAAAAUUAGAGUUAAAAAAAAUUAAUUUAGGAAAAGGGUCACCAUUGGAGCCGUAAUUUUGCGAGGUCACCAUAUCCGUUGUUGAAGCUAUUGUUAUUGUUCUUCUAAUUCUUUCUCCAUACUCCUUUCUUCCUCAAUUUAGCCUGCAACUCAAAGUUUUCAUGGGAUUUGAUUACGUAUCUUUUAAAAAAAAAAUAAAAAAUUGGGUAGGUGCCCUGUUUUUUCGUGAAAAUGGAGCAUGAAAACUCCACUUUGUAUUGUCUUUCUUUUUUUUGGUUUUGGGAACUUGUACGCAAUACUGGUUCCUUUAUUAUUAUUUUUACUUUUUUUUUUAUCUUAUUUUAUUAUUAUUUUUACUUUUUUAUCUUAUUUUAUUAUUUUAUUGUUAUUACUAUUAUUAUUAUCAUCCUAGUUUUUCCUAACCUUUUUAUUAAGGUUGUGUACAAGAUUGAGUUAAUAUAUUGGUCAUACUAACUUAGGUUUUUUUUUAUAUAUAUAUUCGCUUGUUGAUAGACGGAGGCUACAUAGGUGAUCGCUCGGGAAAUUAGUAGGAGGAAAUUACGUGCUAUCAAGGUUUGUAAGACGGGUUGGUUCGAGUGAGGACGUAUCAUAGAAUAAGACAAUUUGACCUUGCCGUCAUUUAGUAUACUUUUGGUUUAAGUUUUAUGUUAAGUUUGGGUUGUAAUAAGUUAUACUCGUUUUAGACCACCUAGCUAUGGUAUAAUAGUUUAAUGUUUGUUUUUAUC